UACGUAGGGCGCGAGCGUUGUCCGGAAUCAUUGGGCGUAAAGAGCUCGUAGGCGGCCGGUUGCGUCUGCUGUGAAAUCCCGGGGCUUAACCCCGGGCGUGCAGUGGAUACGGGCUGGCUGGAGGCAGGCAGGGGAGAAUGGAAUUCCCGGUGUAGCGGUGAAAUGCGCAGAUAUCAGGAGGAACACCGGUGGCGAAGGCGGGUCUCUGGGCCGAAACUGACGCUGAGGAGCGAAAGCGUGGGGAGCAAACAGG
rnacentral:rRNA from 1 species